ensembl:lncRNA
GUGACGGCAAAGGUCACAAGGCUGGAAUGAAGCCGCCGUCCGCUGCAAGCAAGCCUUGGGCGGUCACGAAGGCUCCCCGUUGCUCAAUGCAAACAGCUCGGUGCUGGGUGCUUGGGCAAUGCCUGCAAUUCAGCGCCCAGAAAGUCUGGAAGAUUAGCCGAGCCGAUCCUCGGUGUCAUUUGCGGCGUAACAGGUGCAGAAUCGAAACCGGCCUUCAGGCUGUGAGCUUAAGGGUAACAUAAACCAGCACAAACAGCAGAGCCACCUGUAAGGCACUGCAGCUGUCAGAAAAACGCGACGCAAAACCAACGUGCUGAAAAUUGAAUCCCCUGCAUGUAUAUAUAUAUGAGUGUUCAGUUGUAGUGCUCAGGUAGCCGUUCCCUUUCCCCUCCGUGCUGCCGUGCUUUGCUUGUUGCACACACAGGUGAGAUCUGCUUCCAGAAAUCAUUGCAUUCCAGUGCAAGUUGUGUCGGUCAAGGUCUUUCUCUGAGAUGGUUACAAAGUGCUGGAGAAGUAUCCUCUUCUCAGAGUAGAUCAAGAUAGAUUGGAAGUGAUUGCCAAACAAGCCGUACCUCUGAAGGUGUUGGCACAGGUGAGAACAGCUGUGAGAUGGAGGAACAGAAGCUGGCAUCCUCUGUUCUCUUCAACAACUAUACUAAGUCUGUUUUGUUGAUUGUGGGCAUGAAGGAGCACACAGGCUGUAGGUUCAGCAGAUAUGGUCUGCAUAUUCAAAGUGUAAGCAACCAAAAAGAUGAGGGUUUAGGCACUAUUCCCUUACUUGGGCAUCCAUACUAAUAUCCUUUCUACUAAGUUUCAAAAGGUCCCUGGCUGGCUGUGAUUGCAGUUACUGGCUCAUAUAUUAUACUGUAAGGAUGCACCAUUGGAUAGCAAUGCUGGUAAAUAAGCACUUUGCUUAUUGGAGGACACAGAGGAAGAUCAACAGAUUUUCUAUUUGGGUUACAAAUCCUAUGCCGAAAUAGUGUUAUCUAUUCAGAUCUUGUAUGUGUAUUGGAAUUGUGUGAUAUUUGUUAAGCACCUAAAUAACAUAGUUCUGCAUUACAACAUAGUCUAAUUCUGAGUCAGUUUCACUCACGUGUACAUCAUAGCACAGAAGAUGGAGUGACUUAAAAUAUUUAUAGUAUUGUGCUGUAACAUAUCUUAAUGCAAUCCCUGCAUUUACAUUUCAUUUAGCUGUUAUCCUGCCCUUAGGGAAAUCUCUUUUGCCUAAGAAUGCACAUCCUCUGUAACAAAAAGGAUCAUAAAAACAACAACAACAAAAAAGAACAGUAGCAAUAUUCAUAGAAGGAAGAAAUACUUCAAAAUUCACCAUUUUAUGAUGGGGAACUUCAGAAGAUGAAUGGCAGUUUUCCAGUGGCCUGGGAAAAGCAAACCAAAAUAAACUCCAGGGAAAUAAAUGAUUCUGAUAGAGUCAUGGUUAAAAAUGAGGAGAGCUUUGCCCCAAAUUGAAGUUCAGCAGAAACUCAAAGCCCCAUGACUUGAAAGCAAAUCAAAAGUGGAAGAAUGGUCUUUUGAUCAAGGCACUGACCUGAGAGCAAGUACAGGUUCAUGUCUUUGCUCUGCUGCAGACUUCCUGUCUUUGUAUCUGCUGUCUCUGUGCUGCUGUGCUUUCUUUUUUUUAUGUAGUGAGACUGAUAACAUCUAAAUUGCACGCUGCCUCAGAUGGGGCUAUCUUUGACUCUGCUGAGAAGUGAAUAGUUCAGUGAGGGCUCACUGGUAUGGUAUCAUGGUGCCAUGGCAAUGCUGAACACAUUGGCAGAAACACUUCUCAGUCAAAAUGUUUCUGAUUUUGACAUGUUUUUUUUUUUGCAAUGAUGUGUCACAGUUUCACUUCACAAUGCAACUUCUCAGCAAGUUUCUAAACCGAAGAUUUUUGCAUUGGAAAGAUCUAAGUGAAGUGAGUUAAAAUGGUUCAUGAAAAUGUAUCGACCUCCUCAUAUUCUAAGGUGUGUUGUGAAAACAGUUCGCUGUGGGUGGGACAGAAAGAUUUCCUUCAAAUUUACCAGUCUCUUUUGCACCCUUGCAAAGAAAUGUGAGCCUUAGUAAAUCUAAAUAUUUUAGAAUAUGUUGCUUCAUGAACAACGGAGGGAUUUUUGACAUUUUGCUUUGACAUGUGGUUAAAAAAACUGUAUAAAGUCUAUGAAUUUCUUCUCCAACAUAUGUUCCAUGUUUUAAGCAGCAUUACUGCACAAUGUCCACCGAGAUCACCAUUUUAAUAAAAAUGUCUUCCAAGCUUUAAUUCCACUGUUAUUAAUUCAAAAAACCUCUCAGAAGUUCAGUGUUCAUAAAAGAAAAAUCUUCUUGUGCUCACCGAUAUAGAAAUGUAAUCCUUCUAAUACUGCAGCACUGAAUAACGAGGAGCCAAAAACUGCAGAUCUAAUUACUGGGCAUCACUG